ACGGGAGGCAGCAGUGGGGAAUAUUGCACAAUGGGGGAAACCCUGAUGCAGCAACGCCGCGUGAAGGAUGACGGUCUUCGGAUUGUAAACUUCAAAAUCCAGGGAAGAUAAUGACGGUACCUGGAGUUAAGCCCCGGCUAACUACGUGCCAGCAGCCGCGGUAAUACGUAGGGGGCAAGCGUUAUCCGGAAUUAUUGGGCGUAAAGAGUGCGUAGGUGGUUACCUAAGCAGGGGGUGAAAGGCACUGGCUUAACCAAUGUCAGCCCCCUGAACUGGGCUACUUGAGUGCAGGAGAGGAAAGCGGAACUCCAUGUGUAGCGGUGAAAUGCGUAGAUAUAUGGAAGAACACCAGUGGCGAAGGCGGCUUUCUGGACUGUUACUGACACUGAGGCACGAAAGUGUGGGGAGCAAACAGGAUUAGAUACCCUGGUA
rnacentral:rRNA from 1 species